GAACGCUGCAUUCCUUCUCCUAGUCUGUCUUCCAUUCUUGUUCGCUGAUACGGUAAAUGAAAAUGCCGCUCUGGAAGUCUAUAAGAGAAUGACACCAGAAGAGAGAAUGAACGUUCAUGAAGCUGUAGCACACAUCAAACAAUGGUUUCACGAUCAUGGAACACAGCUGACCUCUGGUGCCUGUGCAGUGUUCUGUGCUACAGAAGCCGCCGUCACUCUAGGAAUCGGUGCUCCAGUAUGUGCUGCUGCUUGUGCUUUGAUUGGACUGAUUGGCUGAAUCAUGUGAAAAGAAAUAAAAUAUUUUCUUUAAA